AUUGAACGCUGGCGGCAUGCUUACACAUGCAAGUCGAGCGGCAGCGCGGGGGCAACCCUGGCGGCGAGCGGCGGACGGGUGAGUAGAGCAUCGGAACGUAUCCCGUAGUGGGGGACAACCCAGCGAAAGCUGGGCUAAUACCGCAUAUGCUCUACGGAGGAAAGUGGGGGACUCGCAAGGGCCUCACGCUAUGGGAGCGGCCGAUGUCCGAUUAGCUAGUUGGUGGGGUAAAGGCCCACCAAGGCGACGAUCGGUAGCUGGUCUGAGAGGAUGAUCAGCCACACUGGGACUGAGACACGGCCCAGACUCCUACGGGAGGCAGCAGUGGGGAAUUUUGGACAAUGGGGGCAACCCUGAUCCAGCCAUGCCGCGUGCGGGAAGAAGGCCUUCGGGUUGUAAACUGCUUUUGUACGGAACGAAACGGCUCUGGUUAAUACCUGGGGCUAAUGACGGUACCGUAAGAAUAAGCACCGGCUAACUACGUGCCAGCAGCCGCUGUAACAC
rnacentral:rRNA from 1 species